rnacentral:rRNA from 1 species
GACGAACGCUGGCGGCGUGCUUAACACAUGCAAGUCGAACGGAAAGGCCCUGCUUUUGUGGGGUGCUCGAGUGGCGAAAGGGUGAGUAACACGUGAGUAACCUGCCCUUGACUUUGGGAUAACUUCAGGAAACUGGGGCUAAUACCGGAUAGGAGCUCCUGCUGCAUGGUGGGGGUUGGAAAGUUUCGGCGGUUGGGGAUGGACUCGCGGCUUAUCAGCUUGUUGGUGGGGUAGUGGCUUACCAAGGCUUUGACGGGUAGCCGGCCUGAGAGGGUGACCGGCCACAUGGGGACUGAGAGACGGCCCAGACGCCUACGGGAGGCAGCAGUGGGGAAUAUUGCACAAUGGGCGGAAGCCUGAUGCAGCAACGCCGCGUGCGGGAUGACGGCCUUCGGGUGGUAAACCGCUUUCGCCUGUGACGAAGCGUGAGUGACGGUAAUGGGUAAAGAAGCACCGGCUAACUACGU